GACUGACCAACAUCUGCAAAACAGUAUACCCAGGCUCCUUCUUCAAAGGGUUUCAUUAAAAUGAGAAUAAGUCUAUGCUGACUGUAGCUGGACAAAAAUAAUAUUCAGAGUGGUAUACAGAAAAUUUGAAUUUUUGUUAUUUUGUGAGACAGAAUAUUUAUUACUUAUUAUAUCUUUGCAUUAUAUUCAAUGAAAGACAGAAAAAGGUGGAAAAUAGGUGGCAACUAGUGGAAAUUAGCUGUACUAGCUGAAUCUGAAAAGAUCUUUUUAAAUGUGUCUGCAGUGUAUUAUUUCUGCAUGAGUGAAAGUUGGUUAAAGAUAAGAUUAAUGAUAGAUCAAGUUACAAGCUCCCACACAAGUGUAUAGAAACAAUCCCAGGUGGAAUUUGGGUCAGUUAAGAUUUAUAUAUGCAGGCAAACAUCAGGUCAGAUGCAAAGAAAUAGUUCUUGCCUUUUCUCUUCAUUAAUUGAAAUAAAAAGAAGUGUUUAUAAAAAGGAUGUUUUUACAAUAGCUUUUCAACUUAUGGACUUGACACCUUCUUUAGCUGACCAAGAAAGUGUAUGUGUGGAAUCAAUUUAUCUGUGUAGUAAUACCAAAUUUUGAAAUCUGGCAUUUGAUGAGUCAGCCGGGGAGAAAAUGGAAACACAUUGUGAGAGGUUCCUUCUGUGAAAAAAGUGCAACUUUGUGACAUGAUACGCCUUCCUGACUGUAUAUACCUGGGCAGCAUACAGCUUAUUGCGGCAUAAAAGAAACAUAUCAAGAUAAUUUUGAAUCGGAUUGUGUGCUGGAAAAAUGGCCUUACAUCCAAAGGAGUGAAAUUUGGAGAGUCAUUUGCCAUCUACUUAAGCCAUCCUGGAAUAUGAAGAAAUAAGACUUCAUUGACAACAUCCUGAUCCUCGUGUUCAGAUCUUUUGUGAUUUCUUGUGAAGAGUCUUUGAUUUUUCAUAAAAAUAAAAAAUAUAUUAAUAUGAUAUGAUUUUUGCUUAUUACUGAGUUUUUUUCCAUUUCAGCAGGUGCAGCCGAUUUCCACUAGUUGCCACGUAUUUUCCUACUAUUGCCAGCUAUUUGGUGGCAUUUAGUGGAAAAUAGGACUGCCACCAUAGUGGCGGUUUGGUGAAAUUUUGUCCGCUUACUGCCACCUAUUUGGUGGCGAUUGGUGGAAGUAAGUGGCGUUUAGUGGAAAAUAGAUUUUACACCAUAAUGGUGGCAUUUUAGUGGUAAUUUGUCUAAAUACUCCACUUACUGCCACCAUGAAGGUGGCUAUUGGUGUAAUUAAAUGGCAAACAAAUUUUCCACCAUAAUGGUGGCAUAAUGGUGUAAAUCUGUCUAAAUACUCCACGUAUUGCCACCUAAAGGUGUAC